GUACCCCACCCGGUACGAUGCGAAGCCGGACUCCAAUAGCUCUUCCCGGUACUGGUCGGUGGCACGGAAGUCGUCCACCGCCCGACUCGCCGACUCCUUCGCCGACCUUGCUUCCGCUUCCACCCGAUCAAGGGAGUCCUUCGCCGACUCCGCCUCUGCCUUGGCUAUGUCGGCGUCGGCCUGGGUGAUUGACAGAUCCUCCUCAGC
rnacentral:lncRNA from 1 species